AAAGAAUACAAAAAAUAUUGCUUGUGUGGGAGACAGAAAACAAAAAGGCGGAAGGAGGAUGAAGAUAGCACUAUGGAUUAGGCUCCUAGUUCUGAUGGCUUGCCUGCAGCUGUUUCCGACGCCAGUGGAGUGCAUGGUUAGGCACUACAAGUUCAAUGUGGUGACGAAAAAAACAAGUAAAUUGUGUUCAAGUAAGCCAAUUGUUACCGUGAAUGGGAAGUUCCCUGGACCCACUUUAGUUGCUAGAGAGGAUGACACUGUGCUUGUGAAGGUUGUCAACCAUGUCAAAUACAAUGUUAGCAUCCAUUGGCAUGGGAUUAGACAACUGAGGACUGGUUGGGCAGAUGGUCCAGCGUACAUAACACAGUGCCCUAUCCAGCCAGGGCAGAGCUUUGUGUACAAUUUCACCAUUACUGGCCAAAGAGGCACCCUGUGGUGGCAUGCACAUAUCCUCUGGCUGAGGGCCACUGUCCAUGGUGCUAUCGUUAUCUUGCCCAAGCGUGGUGUUCCUUAUCCAUUUCCCACACCCCAUAAGGAAGAGAUCAUUAUAUUAGGUGAAUGGUGGAAAUCAGAUGUUGAAGCUGUGAUCAAUGAAGCUAUGAAGUCUGGGUUGGCACCAAAUGUCUCAGAUGCUCACAUCAUCAAUGGCCAUCCAGGGCCUGUCCCAGCCUGCCCUUCACAAGGAGGAUUCAACUUACCAGUACAUUCCGGCAAGACCUACAUGCUUCGGAUCAUUAACGCUGCACUUAAUGAAGAGCUUUUCUUCAAGAUUGCUGGCCACCAACUCACAGUUGUCGAGGUUGAUGCCACCUAUGUUAAGCCCUUCAAAACUGAAACAGUCCUUAUAACCCCAGGCCAAACCACAAACGUUCUUUUAACUGCAGACCGCAGCUCCGGCAAGUACCUGGUUGCAGCCUCUCCUUUCAUGGACGCCCCCAUUGCCGUAGACAACGUAACCGCCAGUGCCACCUUACAUUAUUCAGGUACCCUUUCUAGUGUCGCCACCACGCUCACCGCCCCGCCACCACAAAACGCCACCCCAGUAGCAACAAACUUCAGUGAUGCUUUGCGUAGCCUGAACUCGAAAAAUUACCCUGCCAGAGUCCCUUUGAAAAUCGAUCAUUCCCUUUUCUUCAGUAUUGGGCUUGGAGUGAACCCUUGCGCUACUUGUGUUAAUGGCAGCGGAGUUGUGGCAGAUAUCAAUAACGUAACCUUCGUUAUGCCAAAGAUUUCUCUACUGCAAGCCCAUUUCUUCAAUAUUAGUGGAGUUUUUACUGACGAUUUCCCUGGUAACCCACCGAUGCCAUACAACUAUACGGGGACACAACCAACCAACUUUCAGACCAUGAAAGGAACAAAGCUUUAUAGACUUGCUUAUAACUCUACGGUGCAGUUAGUUUUGCAAGAUACUGGGAUGAUUGCCCCUGAAAACCACCCAAUCCAUUUGCAUGGCUUCAAUUUCUUUCAAGUUGGGAGAGGAAUAGGUAAUUUCAAUCCAAAGAAAGACCCAAAGAACUUCAAUCUUGUUGAUCCUGUGGAGAGGAACACUAUUGGGGUCCCUUCUGGUGGAUGGACCGCUAUAAGAUUUAGAGCUGAUAAUCCAGGAGUGUGGUUCAUGCAUUGCCAUUUGGAAGUUCACACAACGUGGGGAUUGAAGAUGGCAUUUGUUGUGGACAAUGGAAAAGGCCACAAUGAAUCUCUUCUACCACCUCCUCCUGAUCUACCCAAGUGUUAGAAAAUUCCAGUGAUCAUGCACAGAAUUCUAAUUCAAGUAGGGCUGGAGUUCUCAAAGGAGAACAAACAAGAGGUUUUAAUGCUAUAUAAUAACGAGAGAAGUGUUCUUUCGAUCGGGCAAGCCGAAAAAAUGAAGUUGCCAGGAGAAGAAAUAAAAGUAAUAAACCUGGGAUUUUUAUUAGUUUCUUUUUUUGUUUUUUUCGCCUACAGUUUGCUUCCAAAAAAGGAUGUAAUUAUGCAAUAUAUAAACUGCUGAUUUAAAAGUUCCAAAGUAAUUACGAACCUUUUAAUUUGUUUUGCAUGUAUAUAAUCUUCCCUCAUUUGGUGCAGCAACAACUCCAUGUUAAAUGAUCAAUGUCUGUACGUAUUUUCAUGUUGUGGAUGCAUUGUGCCUUUAGCUCAAACUUCAAAAACAAAUUUGUACAAGAAUUU
rnacentral:misc_RNA from 1 species